GACAGAGGGUGCAAACGUUGUUCGGAAUUACUGGGCGUAAAGCGCGUGUAGGCGGUUUGAUAAGUCGGAUGUGAAAGCCCCGGGCUCAACCCGGGAAGUGCACUCGAUACUGUCAAGCUAGAGUAUCGGAGAGGUUGGUGGAAUUCUCGGUGUAGAGGUGAAAUUCGUAGAUAUCGAGAGGAACACCGGUGGCGAAGGCGGCCAACUGGACGAAUACUGACGCUGAGACUCGAAAGCGUGGGGAGCAAACAGG
rnacentral:rRNA from 1 species